UUUUUUUUUUUUUUCUUUCUUUUGUUUUGUUUUUUUUUUUUUGGUUUUUUUUUUUUUUUUCCCCGUGUUGUGCCUGUGUCAGGCCUGCAGAGGACAGCUCGAAGCGUUCUUCAGUUAAACUCCAGCUCUCUAAAGAGGGUGCCUACGGUGUGCCGUGUGUUGUCCAACUCACAGAAUACACAGAACCACAGAAUAGGUUGACUUGGAAGAGAGUCACAGAGGUCGUGAAAUCAAAUAAGACCAAGCCCAUAAAUGAAACCAUAUGCCUGAGAGUGUUUUCCAAUGCUUCUUGAAUUCCUUCAGGCUUAGUGCGGUGAUCACUUUCCUGAAGAGCCUGCUCCAGUGCCCAGCCACUCUCUGGGUGAAGGACCUCUCUUUAAUGUCCAGCCUAACCUCCUCUGACAAAACUUCAUGCUGUGCCUUCGGCUCUUGUCACUGGUCGUCACAGAUAAAGAGAUCAGUGUCUGCCCCUCCUCUUCCCCUCGAGGAAGUUGUAGACUGCAAUGAGGUCUCCCUUCAGUCUUGUCCAGGAAGAACAGAUCAAAGGACCUCAGCCACUUUCUCCUGUGGCUUCUCCUCAAGGCCCUGUACUCCAGACAAGUGGAGUUUGUCCACACCACGAGGACUUUUUGUCCUGUCAUUGUUGGUUUCCUGCCACUUCAUGGAAGCAGGCCAAACUUGAAAUGAGUGAAAGACCUGCAACAGGGUCAUGUUUCUUCCCUGGUUCAGAUGCACAGGACACAUAUAUAAUGCAUUUUGUUUCUGCCUUUAUUACUGUGGCUUCCUGGCCUUUCCCUAAAUUCCAUCCAUGAUAAUAGCAUGGAUGCAACACAUCUUUUUUACCUUCUCCCACCUGCUUUAAUUUUCUCCAAGUUUUACAUCUACCGUGCUCAGUGGCAUUCCUUCAUCUUUUCCCUUUGCCAAUCCAACACCUCUAUCUUCUCUACUUUCUUACACCACAGCUCCCAUAUGGCUGUCUCAGCCCAACAACUCUUAAGCAUUUAUGUUGGUGAAAUAUCUUCUCAGCCUGUUUCAAAGGCCAUGAGGGCCCACACCAGUGCAGCUUAAGUAUCAAGGUGCUGGGAAAGGAAAAAGUGAACCAGAAGGUGUUGAAAGGAGGAAGUGCCGACCUCAUUCCUGGCACCACCUCACUCCCAUGCUUCACUGCCAUGCCUUUUACAGCCUUGAUACCUUACAUGCAUGUGCACUCUGUUCCUGGUACAAAGGUGUUCCUGGUUUCUCACCACCUGGUUCACUUCCAGCUUUCCUUUAGCUGCAUGCAGUUUCAUAAACAGUGCCUACUGAGACGAUAACCUGGGUCUAAAAGUCUAAAGUUCCAGCGUGUUGUGGGCAUUUUCAGUGACAGCAAACAAUACCUGUGAGUUAGAUAAGCUGUAGGGGAAAAUGGAGAUCAUUUUGAGAACCAUUUUGAUGGGAGCCAAUGACUUCUUAUGAGAGCAGGCAGACAGUCAAUAACCAUGCAAAAAGGUUGCAAGAAGUACACCACAGAUGACAAGAACCUGAGGGGCACCUUUCAGCUGUCAUAAUAUUCACUACCAAACUAUGAAAGCAUGUCUCAGAGUGUUUGCCACCAGUUUAGUUCUGGUGACAAAGCUGUGCCUAUCCUGCCAACAUUUCACAGCAACAGUGCACAGACUGGAGCAGUGAGUAAGAUGUUUUGCACUACUUUAUUUUGUCACCAACAAUUUUAAAUGCAAAUGGCAAUUGUUUCGCCCUGAUGCAAAAUACAGACCACCAGUUGCUCUCUUUCAGUUCCUAGAAGAGCAA
rnacentral:lncRNA from 1 species